AUACGGAGGGAGCAAGCGUUAUUCGGAAUCACUGGGCGUAAAGGACGCGUAGGCGGGUUUGUAAGUCAGGUGUGAAAUCCUACAGCUCAACUGUAGAACUGCACCUGAAACUACAGACCUAGAGUAUGGAAGGGGCAGAUGGAAUUAGUGGUGUAGGGGUAAAAUCCGUAGAUAUCACUAGGAAUACCGAAAGCGAAGGCGAUCUGCUGGGACAUUACUGACGCUGAGGCGUGAAAGCGUGGGGAGCAAACAGGAUUAGAAACCCUAGUAGUCC
rnacentral:rRNA from 1 species